CACGUAGGGUGCGAGCGUUGUCCGGAAUUAUUGGGCGUAAAGAGCUCGGAGGCGGUUUGUUGCGUCGGCUGUGAAAUCCCGAGGCUCAACCUCGGGUCUGCAGUCGAUACGAGCAAAACUAGAGUGUUGCAGGGGGAGACUGGAAUUCCUGGUGUAGCGGUGAAAUGCGCAGAUAUCAGGAAGAACACCCCGUGGCUAAGGCGGCUCUCUAGUACGGUACUGACGCUGAGACGCGAAAAGCGUGGGGGAGCGAACAGG
rnacentral:rRNA from 1 species